rnacentral:rRNA from 1 species
GGUUAAGCGACUAAGCGUACACGGUGGAUGCCCUGGCAGUCAGAGGCGAUGAAGGACGUGCUAAUCUGCGAUAAGCGUCGGUAAGGUGAUAUGAACCGUUAUAACCGGCGAUUUCCGAAUGGGGAAACCCAGUGUGUUUCGACACACUAUCAUUAACUGAAUCCAUAGGUUAAUGAGGCGAACCGGGGGAACUGAAACAUCUAAGUACCCCGAGGAAAAGAAAUCAACCGAGAUUCCCCCAGUAGCGGCGAGCGAACGGGGAGGAGCCCAGAGCCUGAAUCAGUGUGUGUGUUAGUGGAAGCGUCUGGAAAGGCGCGCGAUACAGGGUGACAGCCCCGUACACAAAAAUGCACAUGCUGUGAGCUCGAUGAGUAGGGCGGGACACGUGGUAUCCUGUCUGAAUAUGGGGGGACCAUCCUCCAAGGCUAAAUACUCCUGACUGACCGAUAGUGAACCAGUACCGUGAGGGAAAGGCGAAAAGAACCCCGGCGAGGGGAGUGAAAAAGAACCUGAAACCGUGUACGUACAAGCAGUGGGAGCACGCUUAGGCGUGUGACUGCGUACCUUUUGUAUAAUGGGUCAGCGACUUAUAUUCUGUAGCAAGGUUAACCGAAUAGGGGAGCCGAAGGGAAACCGAGUCUUAACUGGGCGUUAAGUUGCAGGGUAUAGACCCGAAACCCGGUGAUCUAGCCAUGGGCAGGUUGAAGGUUGGGUAACACUAACUGGAGGACCGAACCGACUAAUGUUGAAAAAUUAGCGGAUGACUUGUGGCUGGGGGUGAAAGGCCAAUCAAACCGGGAGAUAGCUGGUUCUCCCCGAAAGCUAUUUAGGUAGCGCCUCGUGAAUUCAUCUCCGGGGGUAGAGCACUGUUUCGGCAAGGGGGUCAUCCCGACUUACCAACCCGAUGCAAACUGCGAAUACCGGAGAAUGUUAUCACGGGAGACACACGGCGGGUGCUAACGUCCGUCGUGAAGAGGGAAACAACCCAGACCGCCAGCUAAGGUCCCAAAGUCAUGGUUAAGUGGGAAACGAUGUGGGAAGGCCCAGACAGCCAGGAUGUUGGCUUAGAAGCAGCCAUCAUUUAAAGAAAGCGUAAUAGCUCACUGGUCGAGUCGGCCUGCGCGGAAGAUGUAACGGGGCUAAACCAUGCACCGAAGCUGCGGCAGCGACGCUUAUGCGUUGUUGGGUAGGGGAGCGUUCUGUAAGCCUGUGAAGGUGUACUGUGAGGUAUGCUGGAGGUAUCAGAAGUGCGAAUGCUGACAUAAGUAACGAUAAAGCGGGUGAAAAGCCCGCUCGCCGGAAGACCAAGGGUUCCUGUCCAACGUUAAUCGGGGCAGGGUGAGUCGACCCCUAAGGCGAGGCCGAAAGGCGUAGUCGAUGGGAAACAGGUUAAUAUUCCUGUACUUGGUGUUACUGCGAAGGGGGGACGGAGAAGGCUAUGUUGGCCGGGCGACGGUUGUCCCGGUUUAAGCGUGUAGGCUGGUUUUCCAGGCAAAUCCGGAAAAUCAAGGCUGAGGCGUGAUGACGAGGCACUACGGUGCUGAAGCAACAAAUGCCCUGCUUCCAGGAAAAGCCUCUAAGCAUCAGGUAACAUCAAAUCGUACCCCAAACCGACACAGGUGGUCAGGUAGAGAAUACCAAGGCGCUUGAGAGAACUCGGGUGAAGGAACUAGGCAAAAUGGUGCCGUAACUUCGGGAGAAGGCACGCUGAUAUGUAGGUGAAGUCCCUCGCGGAUGGAGCUGAAAUCAGUCGAAGAUACCAGCUGGCUGCAACUGUUUAUUAAAAACACAGCACUGUGCAAACACGAAAGUGGACGUAUACGGUGUGACGCCUGCCCGGUGCCGGAAGGUUAAUUGAUGGGGUUAGCGCAAGCGAAGCUCUUGAUCGAAGCCCCGGUAAACGGCGGCCGUAACUAUAACGGUCCUAAGGUAGCGAAAUUCCUUGUCGGGUAAGUUCCGACCUGCACGAAUGGCGUAAUGAUGGCCAGGCUGUCUCCACCCGAGACUCAGUGAAAUUGAACUCGCUGUGAAGAUGCAGUGUACCCGCGGCAAGACGGAAAGACCCCGUGAACCUUUACUAUAGCUUGACACUGAACAUUGAGCCUUGAUGUGUAGGAUAGGUGGGAGGCUUUGAAGUGUGGACGCCAGUCUGCAUGGAGCCGACCUUGAAAUACCACCCUUUAAUGUUUGAUGUUCUAACGUGGACCCGUAAUCCGGGUUGCGGACAGUGUCUGGUGGGUAGUUUGACUGGGGCGGUCUCCUCCUAAAGAGUAACGGAGGAGCACGAAGGUUGGCUAAUCCUGGUCGGACAUCAGGAGGUUAGUGCAAUGGCAUAAGCCAGCUUGACUGCGAGCGUGACGGCGCGAGCAGGUGCGAAAGCAGGUCAUAGUGAUCCGGUGGUUCUGAAUGGAAGGGCCAUCGCUCAACGGAUAAAAGGUACUCCGGGGAUAACAGGCUGAUACCGCCCAAGAGUUCAUAUCGACGGCGGUGUUUGGCACCUCGAUGUCGGCUCAUCACAUCCUGGGGCUGAAGUAGGUCCCAAGGGUAUGGCUGUUCGCCAUUUAAAGUGGUACGCGAGCUGGGUUUAGAACGUCGUGAGACAGUUCGGUCCCUAUCUGCCGUGGGCGCUGGAGAACUGAGGGGGGCUGCUCCUAGUACGAGAGGACCGGAGUGGACGCAUCACUGGUGUUCGGGUUGUCAUGCCAAUGGCACUGCCCGGUAGCUAAAUGCGGAAGAGAUAAGUGCUGAAAGCAUCUAAGCACGAAACUUGCCCCGAGAUGAGUUCUCCCUGACUCCUUGAGAGUCCUGAAGGAACGUUGAAGACGACGACGUUGAUAGGCCGGGUGUGUAAGCGCAGCGAUGCGUUGAGCUAACCGGUACUAAUGAACCGUGAGGCUUAACCUU